UCUCAUAUGGAGUCUUUGCAACUGAUUAAUUCAAAAUUUAGUUCAGAACGUAACAAGUAGUCUUAAGAGUAUAACCCUAAAAAGAGAUCGGCAAACUUAUAAACCUCAUUAUGGAUUGAACUAUGUCGAACAAAGUCAAUUUCAAUAAGAGAAAAUUCUAUUCUCUUCUAGAUAUGUCAAAAAUUCAUCGAAAGGGCAUUCUCCUCUUUGGUCU
rnacentral:lncRNA from 1 species